rnacentral:pre_miRNA from 1 species
AAGAAGCAAACCCUAGGUUUCCGUGCCAACGUUUGACUGUCCAUCUUAUAUGAAAUAUUUUUAUAAUUAGUAUUUUCAUUAUUGUUAGAUGGUAAAACAUAAUUAAUACUUUAUGCGUGACUUGUCUUUUUAAUUUUUAUCACAAUUUUUUCAAAUAAGACGGACGGUCAAAUGUUGGACACGAAAACAGGGUUUGUCUUUUU